UACGUAGGGAGCAAGCGUUUGUCCGGAAUCAUUGGGCGUAAAGCGCGCGUAGGCGGCCCUGUAAGUCCGUUGUGAAAGUCAAAGGCUCAACCUUUGAAAGCCGAUGGAUACUGUAGAGCUAGAGUCCGGAAGAGGCGAGUGGAAUUCCUGGUGUAGCGGUGGAAUGCGCAGAUAUCAGGAGGAACACCAAUAGCGAAGGCAGCUCGCUGGGACGGUACUGACACUAAGGCGCGAAAGCGUGGGGAGCGAACAGG
rnacentral:rRNA from 1 species